GUGAAAAAAAACGAUUUAGGCAGAAAUAUUUUCUUUAAUGGUGUUUUGUGAUUUGAUCGAACACUAAAAUUUUUUAUAUGGAUCUAACAGCAUCUCCAAGAGCUAUUUUAUUUUGUUAGCUAAAUUUAGAGAUUGUAGCCUCUUAGUAAAAAUAGAAAAGCACCUUAUUAUAUGUAGUAGUCCAAAAGACUGGUAAAAUAUAAUUGCUAUAUUUAAAAGUGAGUCCACACCAACCAAUUCCAUCGUUGGCCCACCGAGAUCGAUCAGCACAGGCUUGACGUGAGCGCCGCCGCCCCCUGAUUCUUGCCGCCGCCCCUGAUUCUUGCCGCCGCCCUGUACGUGAUGCUCGGCCCCUGUACGUGAGUGCCGCUGCACCUUGAAACUUUACGCCUGGACGUGAACUGCAAGUUGCAUCGUCUGGACGUGGAGGGCAAGAUCAUCGGCGACGGCCCCUGGACCUGGAUGAUCGGCAACGCUGGAAGUUUGAUCAAAAUGAUUUGAGCGUCCUAGAGUAUGGAUUCAGACGAUGAAUCCAAUCAAUUUGUAAUGAAUGAAAUCAUUGAUUCUUCCUCUUCGGAUGAUGAGAGGAAAGCUGCUAUUCUUGGUGCCGCGCACUUGAUAGUUGAGGAUACGCUUAAUCAUCCGGGUCGAAUUGGUUCGGUCGAGGGGCAUGCUGUUGUGGAUCGUGAAAGACUACUACACCAUGAACUUCUUUACAAAGACUGUUUCUCAGAAAAACCUACUUUCGGACCAAAGACUUUUAGACGCAGGUUCCGGAUGAAACGACAUGUAUUCAUGCGCAUAAUGAAUGCUAUUGAGGAGCAUGAUGAAUAUUUUGUGCAGAAGACGAACGCGGCCGGUACCCUAGGUCUAUCUUGUCCGUAGAAGGUUGUGGUGACAUUUUGACUGCUAGCUUAUGGCGUCGCGGCCGAUGCUUUGGACGAGUAUAUUUGUAUUGGUGAGAGUACCGCCUUAGAAGCUUUGAGAAAGUUUACCGUGGCUGUUGUUGAAAUUUUUGGACAGGAGUACAUGAGAUUGCCUAAUGAAGAGGGCACCGCUAGAUUACUGCCAAUUGGAGCAAGCAGAGGUUUUCCUGGUAUGCUUGGGUCCAUAGAUUGUAUGCACUGGAGCUGGAAAAAUUGUCCUACUGCAUGGCACGGUAUGUACCACGGACAUAAAAAGGAGCCAACAAUAAUACUUGAAACAGUUGCUUCUAAAGAUCUCUGGAUAUGGCAUUCAUUCUUUGGUAUGCCUGGUUCACACAAUGAUAUCAAUAUGCUUUAAAGGUUUCCUAUAUUUGCAAGGCUUGCUGAGGGAGAAGGUCCACAAGUUAAUUUCAACAUCAAUGGCAAUGAUUAUUAUAUGGGUUAUUAUCUUGCAGAUGGCAUAUAUCUGUCAUGGGCCACUUUUGUGAAGACUAUUCCAGAGCCUCAAGGUAAUAAAAAGAAAUAUUUUGCAAAGGCACAAGAAGCUUGUAGAAAGGAUGUUGAACGGGCAUUUGGGGUCCUACAAUCUCGGUUUUGCUAUUGUUCGUGGGCUGGCUCGCUUGUGGGAUGAAGAGUCGCUAGAAAAUAUUAUGAGGGCUUGCAUCAUAAUGCAUAAUAUGAUUGUUGAAGAUGAGAGAGAUGAGUACACUGAUAAAUAUGAUUGCGACUAUGACGACAUGGGAGCAAAGGUGACAGUAUCCCAUAAUGAAGCGCCAGAACUAGAAGCUUUCAUUCAGAAUUACAAAAACAUCAAAAAUAAGGAAACCCACACUCGGCUUUAGGCAGAUUUGAUCGAGCACCUAUGGAAUGACCACCCAGCUGAUUUAUACUCUUUUGAUUAAUUAGACAAGGUUGAAUAUUGUUUGAACUGCAGAGUUAUCUAUAGCGAAAUAAUUAGUUGUGUGAAGGACAAAAUUUGUGUUAGCUGCAGUUAAUCUCUUACUUAAU